AUGCUAAGGGAAACAGAUAAAUGGCUAAGAAGUGGCUGCCUCUUUGAAGCCUUUCUAAUAUCAGGAGGCCCCAGAAGACUGCAGGAGAGAAGAUCUGCAGGUGGAGAAAAAAUAGGAUUGUUGCUGCUGCACAUAAAUUUCAGGAUUAUGAUCUGCAGAAUGGAUCCCAGAAAUGAGAGGAAAGCAAGGAGAAAGAUCAGAAGCUUUGAAAAUACCAGUAGAAAAAAUGGAGGGAACUGCAGUGACUGAACCUGGAGAAAACAACAGUAGGUGUUCACACCAUACCAUGGUGUGGGUCUUCAGACAGAGAAAAGGAAAAUGCAAAGGCAAUGUACUGCUUUCAGUAUACAGAGGUAAGACAAGAACUAGUAAAAAUAAUUUCCAGCAAGGCAGAUCCUUAAGUAUAUGGGGUAAAUUAAUUAUCAGUUAAGAUCUCUUCCUUUAUUUUCUAUUACUACUUUCCAGAAGUGGGCACAACUUUCAUUUCUUAUUGGAAUAAAUGUAUAUAGUAUUUUUUUUCUUCCUAUUUU
ensembl:lncRNA